UUUCGUAGCGUUUGCUGUCGGUGAAUCGAGAACUGGAGGACUUUGCUCUGCAAAUACAGCAGCCCUCUAUACUUCGGUACAUCUUUGGCUUGUGAAAACCAAACAUCUUUUCUUCUGGGCAGCAGUCUUUCCACAAGCAGCCGUUCCACGCGCAAGAGCGUUCCCGAGGUGCGGAGUGCACGCCAGACCAAGCCCCCCUCCAGGCGCUCCCUCCUCCUCAACUGCCUUGUCUAGAAAGAUUGUCUCCUGCAGUUCUGCAGUUGCUACCGCUGGCCGGGAAGGUGUAGAUUCCGCUUUCCCUCUGCGCACGCGCGGCUCCUGGUACAAAAUUCUCUUGAAUCGAGCUUAUUUGCAUGCGGGCGCGCGCGCGUAGCGGGCUGGGAGGGGAGAAGGCCAGGCGGCGGCGCGCGCUCCCGGGGCCUCUAUUGUCCU